UUUCCGUAGGUGAACCUUCGGAAGGAUCAUUAAAGAGUAAGGGUCCCUUUCGGGGCCCGACCUCCCACCCUUUGUCGUCGAAUAAAUCUUGUUGCUUUGGCGGGACAGUCCGACCCUUCACGGGGCCGGCCGUCGGGUCUCGUACCGGGCGAGCUCCCGCCAAAGGCCCAACCAAAAACACUUCGUCAAAACACUUUUGUCCGAGUACACAGUACAAUCGUUAAAACUUUCAACAACGGAUCUCUUGGUUCUGGCAUCGAUGAAGAACGCAGC
rnacentral:misc_RNA from 1 species